UACGUAGGGUGCAAGCGUUAAUCGGAAUUACUGGGCGUAAAGCGUGCGCAGGCGGUUGUGCAAGACCGAUGUGAAAGCCCCGGGCUUAACCUGGGAAUGGCAUUGGUGACUGCACAGCUAGAGUGUGUCAGAGGGGGGUAGAAUUCCACGUGUAGCAGUGAAAUGCGUAGAGAUGUGGAGGAAUACCGAUGGCGAAGGCAGCCCCCUGGGAUAACACUGACGCUCAUGCACGAAAGCGUGGGGAGCAAACAGG
rnacentral:rRNA from 1 species